GCGGACGGGUGAGUAACGCGUGGGUAACCUGCCCUGUACACACGGAUAACAUACCGAAAGGUAUGCUAAUACGAGAUAAAGUACUUUUAUCGCAUGGUAGAAGUAUCAAAGCUUUUGCGGUACAGGAUGGACCCGCGUCUGAUUAGCUAGUUGGUAAGGUAACGGCUUACCAAGGCGACGAUCAGUAGCCGACCUGAGAGGGUGAUCGGCCACAUUGGAACUGAGACACGGUCCAAACUCCUACGGGAGGCAGCAGUGGGGAAUAUUGCACAAUGGGCGAAAGCCUGAUGCAGCAACGCCGCGUGAGCGAUGAAGGCCUUCGGGUCGUAAAGCUCUGUCCUCAAGGAAGAUAAUGACGGUACUUGAGGAGGAAGCCCCGGCUAACUACGUGCCAGCAGCCGCGGUAAUACGUAGGGGGCUAGCGUUAUCCGGAAUUACUGGGCGUAAAGGGUGCGUAGGUGGUUUCUUAAGUCAGAGGUGAAAGGCUACGGCUCAACCGUAGUAAGCCUUUGAAACUGGGGAACUUGAGUGCAGGAGAGGAGAGUGGAAUUCCUAGUGUAGCGGUGAAAUGCGUAGAUAUUAGGAGGAACACCAGUUGCGAAGGCGGCUCUCUGGACUGUAACUGACACUGAGGCACGAAAGCGUGGGGAGCAAACAGGAUUAGAUACCCUGGUAGU
rnacentral:rRNA from 1 species